AGGCAGAGAUGUGGAGUAAAGCCGAAUAAAAAAGGAUUGUUUGAACAUUUGCUAUAUUAAGACCAUGCAUGUGUCCCCAAACCUAGUUCUUUCCCUAGGUCUAGUUUUAUAAAUACUGUACUGGUGAUAGAA